CAGCGGCGCACGGGUGAGUAACACGUGGAUAACAUGCCUCAAAGUGGGGGAUAACACCGGGAAACCGGUGCUAAUACCGCAUAUUCUGACGAGAUCUGCGGAUUUUGUCAGGAAAGGAGCAAUUCGCUAUGAGAGGGGUCCGCGGCUGAUUAGCUAGUUGGUGAGGUAAUGGCUCACCAAGGCAACGAUCAGUAUCCGGUCUGAGAGGACGGUCGGCCACACUGGAAUUGAGACACGGUCCAGACUCCUACGGGAGGCAGCAGUGGGGAAUUUUUGGCAAUGGGGGCAACCCUGACCAAGCAACGCCGCGUGGAUGAUGAAGUAUCUCGGUACGUAAAAUCCUUUCGACGGGGACGAAACCGCAAGGUUGACGGUACCCGUAGAAGAAGCCCCGGCUAACUCCGUGCCAGCAGCCGCGGUAAUACGGGGGGGGCAAGCGUUGUUCGGAAUUACUGGGCGUAAAGGGCGCGUAGGCCGCUUGUUAAGUCGGGUGUGAAAACUCUGGGCUCAACCCAGAGCCUGCAUUCGAAACUGACGAGCUAGAGUUCUGGAGGGGAAAGCGGAAUUCCUGGUGUAGCAGUGAAAUGCGUAGAUAUCAGGAGGAACACCGGUGGCGAAGGCGGCUUUCUGGACAGAAAC
rnacentral:rRNA from 1 species